rnacentral:rRNA from 1 species
AUUGAACGCUGGCGGCAGGCCUAACACAUGCAAGUCGAGCGAGCGGCGGACGGGUGAGUAAUGUAUGGGGACUGCCCGUUAGAGGGGGAUAACUACUGGAAACGGUAGCUAAUACCGCAUACUAUCGGAUAACCCAUAUGGGAUUAGCUAGUAGGUGAGGUAAUGGCUCACCUAGGCGACGAUCCCUAGCUGGUCUGAGAGGAUGAUCAGCCACACUGGAACUGAGACACGGCCCAGACUCCGACGGAGGCAGCAGUGGGGAAUAUUGCACAAUGGGCGGAAGCCGGAUGCAGCCAUGCCGCGUGUAGGAAGAAGGCCCUAGGGUUGUAAAGUACUUUAAUACGGGAGGCGUUACCGGCAGAAGAAGCACCGGCUAACUCCGUGCCAGCAGCCGCGGUAAUUC